rnacentral:rRNA from 1 species
UACAGAGGUCCCAAGCGUCGUUCGGAUUCAUUGGGCGUAAAGGGUGCGUAGGCGGCGCGGUAAGUCGGGUGUGAAAUCUCGGGGCUUAACUCCGAAACUGCAUUCGAUACUGCCGUGCUUGAGGACUGGAGAGGAGACUGGAAUUUACGGUGUAGCGGUGAAAUGCGUAGAUAUCGUAAGGAAGACCAGUGGCGAAGGCGGGUCUCUGGACAGUUCCUGACGCUGAGGCACGAAGGUCAGGGGAGCAAACGGG